GCCAAAGAAGAAACCAUGAUGUGAUGUCACUAUCCUGAAGCUGGUGGAAAAGCAGGACAGAGGAGCAGUGUGGACAAGAGAGACUGCUAAGUGAAAUAUCAACAGAGUCUUCUGUGGUGGAAGACCUCAAGUCCAGGGGGAAAUUAUGUGUCAGCUGGUUGUUGGACUCUAUGCCACCAUGAAGUCUUAUUCAAACACAGGUGUCCUGAUGUGAAAAGGUGGAGCUAAUGGACUGGAGGAAUGUGGAAAAUGGCCAAUUGCCGGUUUACCAGUGCAGCUGGUGAAGGAGGAAGGGUUUACGUGGUCAUGGUCUUGGCUUGCUGGACUCAGAGGGCCGGAGGGGCCAGCCUUACUCUCCUCC